UAGUUCUAGAUGCAGAUAAAACAGAUUGUUCCUGGUCAUUUUGGAGCUCUUGGUCAAAAUGCAGUAUAACUUGUGGAAACGGAACACAAGUCAGAAUAAGGCAGCAGAUGAAUACGUCAAUGUUAUGUAGUUACAAUGAAACAUUUGACAGUAAGACAUGUUCCAGAAGCGAUUGUGCAGCGACCAGUGUUAUUCAAUGUCCAUCUCAAGCUUUGUUAACAUCAAGAUGUGUUGAAGAGUGUUCGGGAGACAAUGAGUGUAGUGGACAGGAGAAAUGCUGUAACAACGGAUGUGGUCAUACAUGUGAGAUAUCUACAACAAGCAUCAGUUCUGUUGGAUGUCCUUUGCCAGCAUCGUUAACCAGGAGUUGUGUUGAACAGUGUUCUAGCAAUAGUGAUUGCAUAGGACAAAGCAAAUGUUGUUAUAACGGGUGUGGUCAUACAUGUGAAACCUAG